GAUGAACGCUGGCGGCGUGCCUAAUACAUGCAAGUCGAGCGAACGGACGAGAAGCUUGCUUCUCUGAUGUUAGCGGCGGGCGGGUGAGUAACACGUGGAUAACCUACCUAUAAGACUGGGAUAACUUCGGGAAACCGUAGCUAAUACCGGAUAAUAUUUUGAACCGCAUGGUUCAAAAGUGAAAGACGGUCUUGCUGUCACUUAUAGAUGGAUCCGCGCUGCAUUAGCUAGUUGGUAAGGUAACGGCUUACCAAGGCAACGAUGCAUAGCCGACCUGAGAGGGUGAUCGGCCACACUGGAACUGAGACACGGUCCAGACUCCUACGGGAGGCAGCAGUAGGGAAUCUUCCGCAAUGGGCGAAAGCCUGACGGAGCAACGCCGCGUGAGUGAUGAAGGUCUUCGGAUCUUAAAACUCUGUUAUUAGGGAAGAACAUAUGUGUAAGUAACUGUGCACAUCUUGACGGUACCUAAUCAGAAAGCCACGGCUAACUACGUG
rnacentral:rRNA from 1 species